rnacentral:rRNA from 1 species
GACGAACGCUGGCGGCGUGCCUAAUACAUGCAAGUCGAGCGAAGUUUUUCUGGUGCUUGCACCGGAAAAACUUAGCGGCGAACGGGUGAGUAACACGUAAAGAACCUGCCUCAUAGACUGGGACAACUAUUGGAAACGAUAGCUAAUACCGGAUAACAGCAUUAACCGCAUGGUUGAUGUUUAAAAGUUGGUUUUGCUAACACUAUGAGAUGGCUUUGCGGUGCAUUAGCUAGUUGGUGGGGUAAAGGCCUACCAAGGCGACGAUGCAUAGCCGACCUGAGAGGGUGAUCGGCCACACUGGGACUGAGACACGGCCCAGACUCCUACGGGAGGCAGCAGUAGGGAAUCUUCCGCAAUGGGCGAAAGCCUGACGGAGCAACGCCGCGUGAGUGAAGAAGGAUUUCGGUUCGUAAAGCUCUGUUGUUAGGGAAGAAUGAUUGUGUAGUAACUAUACACA